rnacentral:rRNA from 1 species
UGGAGAGUUUGAUCCUGGCUCAGAUUGAACGCUGGCGGCAGGCCUAACACAUGCAAGUCGAGCGGAUGAGAGGAGCUUGCUCCUUGAUUUAGCGGCGGACGGGUGAGUAAUGCCUAGGAAUCUGCCUGGUAGUGGGGGAUAACGUCCGGAAACGGGCGCUAAUACCGCAUACGUCCUACGGGAGAAAGCAGGGGACCUUCGGGCCUUGCGCUAUCAGAUGAGCCUAGGUCGGAUUAGCUAGUUGGUGAGGUAAUGGCUCACCAAGGCGACGAUCCGUAACUGGUCUGAGAGGAUGAUCAGUCACACUGGAACUGAGACACGGUCCAGACUCCUACGGGAGGCAGCAGUGGGGAAUAUUGGACAAUGGGCGAAAGCCUGAUCCAGCCAUGCCGCGUGUGUGAAGAAGGUCUUCGGAUUGUAAAGCACUUUAAGUUGGGAGGAAGGGCAUUAACCUAAUACGUUAGUGUUUUGACGUUACCGACAGAAUAAGCACCGGCUAACUUCGUGCCAGCAGCCGCGGUA